UUAGGCAUUGUGGUGUUUGGGCUGGCUCGUGGGAUUGCCGCUCCACUCGAAGUCCAGCAUUGAGUAUGGUUUCUGGAUUUGGCCCAGAGAGGGUGAGAGGCCCGUGCGGGUGGAGUUUCAGACAUGAUUGGCAGUUCACCAGGCCAGCCUUAGAGUCGGGUUGUUUGAGAAUGCAGCCCAAAGCGGGUGGUAAACUCCAUCCAAGGCUAAAUACUAGCACGAGUCCGAUAGCGAACAAGUACCGUGAGGGAAAGUUGAAAAGUACUUUGAAGAGAGAGUAAACAGUACGUGAAACCGCAUGAAGGUAAACGGGUGGCGUCAAGCUGCAAGCCGAGAGAAUUCAGUCGGUCAGGUUGUUAUAUGUGCCUAGCGCAUUUAUCGGUCGGUUGGGCUAGUCUGUGCGUCAAAUACAGACCUGCUUGCAGGAUUUGCUGUCCACUUUGGUUGGUGGAGCAAACUGGCUCAACUACUGGAUUGUCUGAUCGAUGCACUUUCUCUAUGGUGGACACCACGACCGGUGGUACUGCCAGUCUGCUGCGGUCAAGUCCUUGUUGCCUUUUUAAGGCAGCUUGGAUCACAUGCAAUUUCAGUGCACGGUGCUUAAGCGUUUCGGCGAUUGAGCAUGUUAUCGGACACUGGUUGUAAACGGACUGUGCGUGGUGGUUGUAAAUCGCUGCGUGCGUCUGGUGGACUGUGGUGGUAUGCAUAACUGUGCAGGGCACCGUUGUUAUCGGUCUCUAAAUCUGGUUGCUGCCCACUUUACAAGUGGUUGUGUGAGCGUUGUUCGGGCUUGCCUGUGCUUCGAUCUGAUUGUCGUGUCGCCUGCAUAAAGU
rnacentral:rRNA from 1 species